rnacentral:rRNA from 1 species
GACGAACGCUGACGGCGUGCUUAACACAUGCAAGUCGAACGGAAAGGCCCUUCGGGGUACUCGAGUGGCGAACGGGUGAGUAACACGUGGGUGAUCUGCCCUGCACUUUGGGAUAAGCCUGGGAAACUGGGUCUAAUACCGAAUAGGACCACGCGCUUCAUGGUGUGUGGUGGAAAGCUUUUGCGGUGUGGGAUGGGCCCGCGGCCUAUCAGCUUGUUGGUGGGGUAAUGGCCUACCAAGGCGACGACGGGUAGCCGGCCUGAGAGGGUGACCGGCCACACUGGGACUGAGAUACGGCCCAGACUCCUACGGGAGGCAGCAGUGGGGAAUAUUGCACAAUGGGCGCAAGCCUGAUGCAGCGACGCCGCGUGAGGGAUGACGGCCUUCGGGUUGUAAACCUCUUUCAAUAGGGACGAAGCGCAAGUGACGGUACCUAUAGAAGAAGCACCGGCCAACUACGUG